UACGUAGGGGGCAAGCGUUAUCCGGAUUUACUGGGUGUAAAGGGGGCGUAGACGGCAAGGCAAGUCUGAUGUGAAAACCCAGGGCUUAACCCUGGGACUGCAUUGGAAACUGUCUGGCUCGAGUGCCGGAGAGGUAAGCGGAAUUCCUAGUGUAGCGGUGAAAUGCGUAGAUAUUAGGAAGAACACCAGUGGCGAAGGCGGCUUACUGGACGGUAACUGACGUUGAGGCUCGAAAGCGUGGGGAGCAAACAGG
rnacentral:rRNA from 1 species